rnacentral:rRNA from 1 species
GAUGAACGCUGGCGGCGUGCCUAAUACAUGCAAGUCGAGCGAACAGACGAGGAGCUUGCUCCUCUGACGUUAGCGGCGGACGGGUGAGUAACACGUGGAUAACCUACCUAUAAGACUGGGAUAACUUCGGGAAACCGGAGCUAAUACCGGAUAAUAUAUUGAACCGCAUGGUUCAAUAGUGAAAGACGGUUUUGCUGUCACUUAUAGAUGGAUCCGCGCCGCAUUAGCUAGUUGGUAAGGUAACGGCUUACCAAGGCAACGAUGCGUAGCCGACCUGAGAGGGUGAUCGGCCACCCUGGAACUGAGACACGGUCCAGACUCCUACGGGAGGCAGCAGUAGGGAAUCUUCCGCGAUGGGCGAAAGCCUGACGGAGCAACGCCGCGUGAGUGAUGAAGGUCUUCGGAUCGUAAAACUCUGUUAUUAGGGAAGAACAAAUGUGUAAGUAACUAUGCACGUCUUGACGGUACCUAAUCAGAAAGCCACGGCUAACUACG